UACGUAGGGGGCGAGCGUUGUCCGGAAUCACUGGGCGUAAAGGGCGCGUAGGCGGCCGGCUGAGUCCGCUGUGAAAGCCCGGGGCUCAACCCCGGAGGGACAGCGGAGACUGGCGGGCUCGAGCGUUGGAGGGGAGCAGGGAAUCCCUGGUGUAGCGGUGGAAUGCGUAGAGAUCAGGGGGAACACCGAUGGCGAAGGCACUGCUCUGGCCGAAGGCUGACGCUGAGGCGCGAAAGCUGGGGGAGCGAACGGG
rnacentral:rRNA from 1 species